rnacentral:sRNA from 1 species
UUGCAUCUCCUCACAACAACAACAAAAGAUAUAAUAAAUUUUAAUCAUUUGGAAAUUUUAUUAAACACCUUCGCCGCCUCAGCCCCUUGCUUUUUUCCAGAGCAAGCUAUCAAACAGCUGUUUUGUUUACCAAUCAAUCAGCUGUUUACUCUCUCCGGAUAUUAAUUCAACGAAUUUCCAAAUAUUCGGCCUUGAAUAUUCAUAAUUAUGUUAACCAUUGUUGUAUUGGGUAAUGGAUGUUCAACGUUUAAACAAUUUCCAGCAAGCAUACCCAGCUCACCAUAAUCCCAAAUUUAAAAAUUUUGAAUUCUAAAAAAAAUACAAAAACAAGAGAAAAAAAUUCUAAGAACAAAAAUAAAAACAAAAAACUUUGUAACGAAGGCCUUAAACUGUGAUUUUAAUUUAUAAGUGUUACAAACAAAGCAACAACAAAAAUAUUUUUAGCUUAGCAAAAAAAGCUAA